rnacentral:rRNA from 1 species
GACGAACGCUGGCGGCGUGCUUAACACAUGCAAGUCGAACGGAAAGGCCCUGCUUGUGGGGCACUCGAGUGGCGAACGGGUGAGUAACACGUGGGUGAUUAGCCUUGCUAUUCGGGUUAAGUAUGGGAAACUGGGUCUAGUACCGGACAGGUGCUAUCUUUAGCCGGGUGGUUGGAAAGUUUUUUCGGUGUAGGAUGAGGUCGCGGCAUAUCAGCUUGUUGGUGGGGUAAUGGCCUACCAAGGCGGCGAAGGGUAGCCGGCCUGAGAGGGUGUACAGCCACAUCGGGACCGUGAUACGGGCCGGACUCCGACAGGUGGCAGCAUGGGGGAAUAUUGGACGAUGGGCGCAAGCGUGAGGGAGCAAGGCCGCGGGAGAGAUGAAGUCUGUCAGGUGGUAAACUCCUAUCUCUAAGGACGAGUCUUUAUUGUGACGGUACCUAGAGAGGAAGCACCGGCUAACUACGUG